CCUACGGGCGGCAGCAGUGAGGAAUAUUGGUCAAUGGACGAGAGUCUGAACCAGCCAAGUAGCGUGAAGGAUGACUGCCCUAUGGGUUGUAAACUUCUUUUAUAUGGGAAUAAAACGUUCCACGUGUGGGAGUUUGUAUGUACCAUAUGAAUAAGGAUCGGCUAACUCCGUGCCAGCAGCCGCGGUAAUACGGAGGAUCCGAGCGUUAUCCGGAUUUAUUGGGUUUAAAGGGAGCGUAGGUGGAUUGUUAAGUCAGUUGUGAAAGUUUGCGGCUCAACCGUAAAAUUGCAGUUGAAACUGGCAGUCUUGAGUACAGUAGAGGUGGGCGGAAUUCGUGGUGUAGCGGUGAAAUGCUUAGAUAUCACGAAGAACUCCGAUUGCGAAGGCAGCUCACUGGACUGCAACUGACACUGAGGCUCGAAAGUGUGGGUAUCAAACAGGAUUAGAUACCCCAGUAGUC
rnacentral:rRNA from 1 species